rnacentral:rRNA from 1 species
UACAGAGGUCCCAAGCGUUGUUCGGAUUCACUGGGCGUAAAGGGUGCGCAGGUGGCAUGGUAAGUUCGAUGUGAAAGCCCCGGGCUUAACCCGGGAAAGGCAUUGGAUACUACUGUGCUGGAGGAUUGGAGGGGGGACUGGAAUUCUUGGUGUAGCAGUGAAAUGGCGUAGAUAUCAAGAGGAACACCAGUGGCGAAGGCGAGUCCCUGGACAAUACCUGACACUGAGGCACGAAAGCCAAGGGAGCAAACAGGG